AAGCUCGUGCGGUUUGCAAAAUAUAUAAACAAUUGAAAUCUGGGGAGAGAGAGAGAGAGAGAGGGCAAAGCAAGACAAAACAAAGAAACCAACAUUCUUCUCAAGAACCUUAAAUAUUCAACUUUCAUGGAGAUUCUUCAUCAUCUUUGAUCCUUCUCCCGAGGGUUUGAUAACAGAGGAACAAAUGCUACAUUUCUGGGAAUUUCUCUCCAAUCUGUUAGUUGUUUUUUUUUUUAAUUCUCGGACUGUAUUUGGUGUGGUGAUUACCGGCUUGUGGUCUCUGGUCGGAGAAUGAUUUACUUGACGAGAUUGAUCACAGAUGCUUUAAAACUUGGAAUUUGGAAAGUGGGUGUUAUCAUUUACUGAAGAUGAGUUUUGGGCUCCAUGGCAAUAGAAUUGGGAUCUCGUGUUGCUCAACUUCCAAUCGUCGAGCCGUUCUGCGUUACCUUUGGGAUCCUAUUGUUUGGAAUCUCCGUUCAUCCCUUUUUUCAUAAUAGAGAAUCUUCUUGUUC